AUUUUUUUGUAUUUUUAGUAGAUACAGGGUUUCACUGUGUUAGCCAGGAUGAUCUCCAUCUCCUGACCUUGUGAUCCAGAAAAGAACAGGGGAUUUUUAAAAUGGGAAGUCUGAAUUGCCAAGAAAAUAUGAGAAGAUGCUCAGCCACCCUUUAAUUCAGGAAAAUGUGCAUGGAAAUCACAGUGUGAUACCCUUUACAUCCACAAGCUUGGCAAACAUUAAAAGUGGGCAGUACUAAAAGCUGACCCCUCAUGGAGAAAUGGGCACCCUCACACAGCGGUGAGAUGCACAGCAGAUCCCAGAGCCCGGUCCCCCGGCAUCACGUUGGAACAUGA
rnacentral:lncRNA from 1 species